CCGCAGCCUGGUCCCACUGCUCCUUCACUUACAGGACGAGGACCCUGACGUGGGCAAGAGGUGUCAGAAAGCCUUGGCUGGGUGUUUUCAGCUCCUGGGAUGGUCUUGUCCUAAGCAGAUUAACAGCAAGAAGGCUUGGCACACCCAUCCCCGGGUGGUGGACAAGAUCUGCCAGCACUCUGUGCUGAAGCUCAAGAGCGUAUCUGACAUCUUGCUCCAAUGUCUGGAUCACCUCCAAAGCCCCCAGGCUCCAAUACGAC